GGGAACAAUAGGGUGAUCCCCUGUCCCCGACUGAAAAUCGCAGUGUCGGCGGUUCGACUCCGUCCCCGGGCACCA
rnacentral:tRNA from 1 species